GGGCACCAAUGAAAAUGAAAGGGCGUCAUGAUCCAACAUUCGUGUCGACCUCCCUCCCCGUCGCCAAUUUUUUUCGGACCGAAUACAAUUAUUUAGGCACAAUUCCUCCGUAAUGCUUCAAUAAAAAUUCCAUAUAAAGUAAUGCUUUCCGUUUCACCUUUCGCCAAAUGGAUACUGCAACUUUGCCGAAUUCCUGACGACAGCGGAGUGGAACA